UUAUACAGCGAAACUGCGAAUGGCUCAUUAUAUAAGUUAUCGUUUAUUUGAUAGUACCUUACUACUUGGAUAACCGUGGUAAUUCUAGAGCUAAUACAUGCUAAAAAUCCCGACUUACGAAGGGAUGUAUUUAUUAGAUUAAAAACCAAUGCCCUUCGGGGCUCACUGGUGAUUCAUAAUAACUUCUCGAAUCGCAUGGCCUUGCGCCGGCGAUGGUUCAUUCAAAUUUCUUCCCUAUCAACUUUCGAUGCUAGAGUAGUGUUCUAGCAUGGUUACAACGGGUAACGGAGGGUUAGGGCUCGACCCCGGAGAAGGAGCCUGAGAAACGGCUACUACAUCCAAGGAAGGCAGCAGGCGCGCAAAUUACCCAAUCCCGACACGGGGAGGUAGUGACGAUAAAUACUGAUACAGGGCUCUUUUGGGUCUUGUAAUUGGAAUGAGUACAAUUUAAAUCCCUUAACGAGGAACAAUUGGAGGGCAAGUCUGGUGCCAGCAGCCGCGGUAAUUCCAGCUCCAAUAGCGUAUAUUAAAGUUGUUGUGGUUAAAAAGCUCGUAGUAGAACCUUGGGCCUGGCUGGCCGGUCCGCCUCACCGCGUGCACUGGUCCGGCCGGGCCUUUCCCCCUGUGGAACCUCAUGCCCUUCACUGGGUGUGUGGGAAAACAGGACUUUUACUUUGAAAAAAUUAGAGUGCUCCAGGCAGGCCUAUGCUCGAAUACAUUAGCAUGGAAUAAUAGAAUAGGACGUGUGGUUCUAUUUUGUUGGUUUCUAGGACCGCCGUAAUGAUUAAUAGGGACAGUCGGGGGCAUCAGUAUUCAAUUGUCAGAGGUGAAAUUCUUGGAUUUAUUGAAGACUAACUACUGCGAAAGCAUUUGCCAAGGAUGUUUUCAUUUAUCAGGAACGAAAGUUAGGGGAUCGAAGACGAUCAGAUACCGUCGUAGUCUUAACCAUAAACUAUGCCGACUAGGGAUCGGACGAUGUUAUUUUUUGACUCGUUCGGCACCUUACGAGAAAUCAAAGUGCUUG
rnacentral:rRNA from 1 species